rnacentral:rRNA from 1 species
UAAGGAAUAUUGGACAAUGGAGGCAACUCUGAUCCAGCCAUGCCGCGUGAAGGAAUAAGGCCCUAUGGGUUGUAAACUUCUUUUAGACGGGACAAAACCCCUUUACGUGUAAAGGGUUGAUGGUACUGUCAGAAUAAGCAUCGGCUAACUUCGUGCCAGCAGCCGCGGUAAUACGAAGGAUGCAAGCGUUAUCCGGAAUUAUUGGGUUUAAAGGGUGCGUAGGCGGACUAAUAAGUCAGUGGUGAAAGCCUGCAGCUUAACUGCAGAAUUGCCAUUGAUACUGUUAGUCUUGAGUACAGUUGAGNUAGGCGGAAGGUGUCAUGUAGCGGUGAAAUGCUUAGAUAUGACACAGAACACCGAUUGCGAAGGCAGCUUGCUAAGCUGUAACUGACGCUGAGGCACGAAAGCGUGGGGAGCAAACA